GUGCAAGGGCCCUGGGUUCAAUCCCCAGUACAAAAAACACACACACAAAAAUCCCCCACUCUGGUCUUUCUGGAAGAACGAGAUGAGGAGACAUUGAAAGCACUGGGCACAUGCUCAGGACCCAUCUGCCCUGCUCCCGGAAGCCUUGUGCAGCGCCAUCUGCAGUAACCCAAUGAGACCGCAGGCCGUGCCCUGCACUCCCACAAGGGCUGUCCACACUACCCGUCCACACUGCCCGAGACAGAGCCCUUCAGGGAGGAAAUGGUCCCUCACACAGCCCAAGACCUGGAGAAACUUGUCUUUCACAGACUGCCCCAAAUCCUUUCUGGACAGGGGCAGGCAGAAAUGACAACAAUAUAAGUAAUGAACACUUCUGUGUACCAGGCGCCAAGAGAGAUGCCUCACAGAUGUCUGUUGUUUGUAUGCGGGGGCACUGGGGACUGAACUGAAGGGCCUUCACACUGAGCUACAUCCUCAGCCCCUUAUUUUUAAUUUUGAGACUAAGUUACUAAAUUGCCUGGGCUGGGGUUGAACUUCUUAUCUUCCUGCCUCAACCUCCUAGGGUGCUGAGAUCACAGGUGUGCACCACCACACCUGGCUCUAUACAUUAUCUUCAACAUCUUUAGAAUCAAAAAUGUGUAUAGAACCCAUGAGCUUUCAGGACGUCAGGUCCUGGCUGGAGAACGAGGGAGUCGAAGUGGCUUCCAAGGGCCUUUUAGUUACUAAGCAGGGGAGCCAUGCACAGAGGGCAGGAGUCCGGCACAUGCCCCAAGUCGCUCCCUGAGCCCUCUGUGGAACAAGCUUGACCCCAGCCUCAACCUUCGUGGCCUUAGGAGAAACGCCAGGCCCCAGGCAAGAGCUCCACUUCGGGGCCCAGGAUAGGGGCCACCCACAGCAGGCAUUAUAGACCCGGACCCUCGAGACCUGGCUAACAGUGCUCAGCACUGCCAAAGGCUCGCAUGUCCCCCCACAAUGGCCUGGCAGCAGCACGUACAGGAGGGGGGUCCAGGAAGCAACCAGAAUGCGCCAACGUGAGAAAUAACGAGAGAAAGCAGGACACAACAGCAACAGGGAGGAGUAGGCAUGCAUUAAACUGAGGUUGCAAAUAUGGAUUAAAGACAAGGAAAUCAAGGUUAUAGCAGGCUUGAGUUUCAAAACUAGUAUGCAAUCCAUUAUAUAUUGUCAGAUGGUUUUCUUUUUCUUUCUUUCUUUCUUUCAUUUUUUUUUUGGGUUUUUUGGUACCAGGGAUCAAACUCGGGUCCUUGUGCAGCAGGCAGCAGAACCACUGAGCUAAAUCCCCAGCCCACUCAUUUUCAUAGAUACAUAGAAAAAGACUAGCCCAGUGUGGUGGUACAUGUCUAUAAUCCCAGCACUUGGGAGGCUGAAGCAGGAGGAUCACUGAGUUUGAAGCCAGCCUGGACUACUUAGCAAGACCGUGUCUCAAAAAUCCCCCUCCCCAAAAGAUGGAAAAAAUAUGCCAAAACAUUAACAGCAAUGAUCUUGCAGUAAUGGAAUUAAGGGUGACUGUUGCUUUCAUUUUUUCUACCUACCCUGCAUUAUUUAAGUUUUUCUCAUCAGGUCCAGUGGCAAAUGGCUAUAAUCCCAGCGCUCCAGGAGGCUGAAGCAGAAGGAUCGAAAGUUUGAGGGCAGCCUGGGCAACUUAGCAAGACCCUCUCUCGAAGUAAAAAGAGCUAGAGAUGUAGCUCAGUGAUAGGGCACCCUGGGUUUGAUCCCUAGUACUACAAAAAAAAAAAGGAUUCAAGGAGUGCAUGGGGUAGCUACAGUAGAACUGUAAAGCUGCUCUAGUUAGUUGUUUUUUUAGACAGGUCUUGCUGUAUAAUCCAGGCUGAUUACACACCCAGGCUGGCCUCGAGCUCACCGCAAUCCUCAGCCUCCCUGGUGCUGGGGUUACAGGCAUGGGCCACCACGCCAGCCACAGAGUUGUUUCAGAAGGACCCCUUUUUCAAGACACGCUGCGGCAAGCAAGAGAAGGGACUGACGCUUUCAGAAGUCGAUUCACUCACCCAGCUUCACAGACCAGCAUUCAUUCGACAAGUUGUGGCUGGCACCUGCUCAAGUGCCUGCUGGGGGUGGGCAGGGAACAGGCAGCCGGGCUCUGUUCCCAGCCUCCCUCCAAUCUGGGUGUGGCCACAUCAGGAAGUCUCCCCUGAGGGACAUGAGCAUUGUGCACAAAAAUCCAUUUUGGUAUUCUCUCCAAGUCAAGAAAUGGAACACUCCCAGCACCCAGAAACAUCUGUGUGUCCUCCCCAACUUCCGCCUUGUCUUAGAGCACUUCCUGUGCUGCCACAGAAGGCCUGAGACUGGGCGCCUUAGAAACAACACAGGUUUUGCCAGACCUAGCGGCAUGGCCCUGGAAUCCCAGCACUGUGGAAGGCUGAGGUAGGAGGCUCAAAGUUGGAGCCCAGCCUGGGCAACUUAGUGACUCAGCCUAAGAGUGUGGAUCUAGCAUCUGCUCAGCUUUGGGGGGUAGGUGCCCUGCAGGCCUGUAAUCUCCAGUCCCCGGAAGGCAGGUGGAACUCACUCCCUGGAGAAAGGCACUAAUCCAUUUUAAAACCUGAUCACCUCUUAACCCUAAACAAACCCUGCCCAGUAGCUUGGAGGAGUCUCUUUCCUCCCUGCCUUGAGAGCAGCAGCCUGGCUCCUUACGCGCUUCCUAGGCACUCCUAGAAAGCGGGGUGAGGUUGCACACUGUGGAGUGACCCAUGUCUGGAUCCGUACUUUCUUUUGUGUUUUGCUAGCACUCUUCAUGCCAGUGAGAUUUAUCCAUACCGUUGCCUGGAGCUGGAGGUUUUUUAUUUGUUUAUUUGUUUGUUUGCAGCACUGGGCAUUGAACCCAGGGCCUCCACACUGAUCUAUAUCCCAGCCCUUAUUUUAUUUUUUAUUUUGAUGCAGAGUUCUGCUAAAUUGCCCAGGCUGGGCUUGAUCUUGUGAUCCUCCGGCCUCAGCCUCCCAGAGUGUGGGAUGACAGGCAGGCAUCGCCAUGCCUAGGUUAACAUAAUUUCUGUUUUUGAAAGUGGUUAUAAUAGAAUUGCUGGACUUAUACACUGGGUGUCAGAAUGGCCUCUGCUCACCAACAGGAAGCAUCUUUUCUCAUGCUUACUGCUUAUUUCUUGUGUUCUCUCUACCAAAAAAUGACUGUCUGUGCCUUUUACUUUUUCUAGAGUUAUCUUUUUCUUAUUAUAAUUUUCUAUAUAUUUUGGAUAUUUUGUUUGUCUGUUUUUUGAGAUAGGGUCUCACUAUGUAGUCCAGCUAUCCUUGAACUCAACAUGUAGCCAAGGUUGAUCCUGAACUCAUGACCUCCUGCCUCAGCCUCCCAAAUGCUGGGAUUACGGUGUGCAGCACCAUACCUGGUUAAUUUGUGGCUUUGAUUUUGAUGUUGUUGUUUUGUUUGUUUUUGCUAUACUGGAGAUUGAACCCAGGGCCUUCAUACUCAACUCCAUCCUCAGCCAUUUUUUAUGUUUUAUUUUGAGAUAAGGUCCCCUCAGGCAUGUUUCCCAAAUUGGUCUCCAGUUUGAGAUCCUCCUGCCUCAGCCUCCCAGAGUGCUGGGAUUAAAGGACUGCACCAGCACACCUGGUUCCAGAAGUUAUUCUUUUGUAUGUUCUGAAAGGUUUCAAGUCUUUUUUUUUUCAGCUUUAAGUCUUUAAUCCAUGUAGAAAUGCUUUCUCUGUACAGUGUGAGGUAGGGCUGCACUGCUGUCAUCUGAAUAACCAGCUGGGUCAGCACCACAGGUUUAAUUCCCAUUCCUGCCGAGGUUGAUUAGCAAUGCCACUCUUGUCAAAAACCUCAAGCUGGGGCAAGGGAUUAGCUCAGUGGUUCCACCGCCUGCCUUACAAGCGCAAGGUCCCAAGUUUGAUCCCCGGUACCAAAAACAAAAAACCCCAAGCCUCUAUGUGCGCAGAUCUGUUUCAGGCCUCUCCGUUCUGCUCCUUUGGUCCAUUUGCCUAGCCCUGCGCCAAGACCACACUAUCUGACUCCAGUGGCUUUAUAAUACCCAUUUCUCAGUGCAGAAAAACCAUCUGGGUGGCCAGAAUGUCAGUGACAUCCAAGGGGCUCUGCUUUAGAACUCUUCACUGAGAGAACGGCUCCAAGAGGGAGGGGAACCUAUGUGUGUCACACAGUUAACUGGUGUCAACUUUCGUCACUGUAACAACAGACCAGAGAUAAACAGCUUAAAGGGGGAGGACUUAUCUGGGCUCACAGUUUCCCAGGUUUCAGCCCAGGAUCACCUGGCUCUGUUGCUUUUAGGUGAGCAGUGAGGACAUCACAGCAGGGCAGAGCUGUUCACCUUGAUUGUGACUAAGAAGCAGGGACAGACAGGGAGUCAGACAGACAGGGCAGAGACAAGAUACAGUGACCCACACCCUAAACUGCCAUGGUCUGCCAAUGGCCUUGAACUCCUGAGAUCCUCCUGCCUCAGCCUCCCAAGUGCUGAGAUCUCAGGGGUGUGCUACCACCCCCAACAGGAUCACUUCUCAAAGCCCCACCUCUGCACAUUCAAUGACAUCUGUAGCUUGUGUAUUUCUAGUGAAUAGACUGGGUUAUACCAUUAAAUCCACCCCAUCGAGAAGCCUUUAUGAAGGGCCUAAUUUGCAGAGUGCACUGUAGUAAGGGCCACAUGAUUAUUAGCAAGGGAACAGAAAUAGUUCCAAUCGAUUCGAUCCAUUUCCUCACUGGACCAACCUUCUGUCCAGAGAAACUGCCUCAGACCCAAGAAUACAAGAAGGAGCCCUUGAUCCAGUCUCAACCCUAGCUGGACGGCCCUUUUCCAGUUAUAGAGGCAGCUCUGGAACUCCAAUGUCAAAUUCAUUUGGAUCAAAUCUCCUGUCUUUACAGGUCAGCCAGCUGAGGUCCAGAGAGGUUGAGACACCUACCCAAGAUCACACAGCAGGCAAUGACUCAUUGCAGAGCUCCUCCUCUGCAUAUCUAGACCUGUAGGAAACCUUGGCCCUGGGCUUCUUCCCUUCCAGAGAAAAAGCCACAACUUUUGAGUCAAGGUAGCACUCAGGACCCUUGAGAACAACCCUUUGAAAGCCCACAUGCCCACCCCAGAGAAAGUGGAUUUGUACAGCCAGCCAGAAGCAAUCAAGCCUGUCCCAGGGGCCCAGCUCCCUGGGCCAGCUGACAGCUUCUUGAAGGGUGCACUCCCAGCUCCCCUGGGGAAACACGGUUGAAACUGGGCACAGGGCCCAGCCUCACCCUGCACACCACCAUCCGGCCCGGAGUCAUUCUGACCAGAUCUGGGUGCCAGGGACUCUCAACAUCCGCCCGGAGGUGAAUGUGGACUAAGGUGCCAGCAGCCCCCAGGUCAGCACGUACGUGCCCUGCACAUGAGAGCUGAGACCCAGGCCAGCUGGAGUCCACCAGGGGUUUUGUUUUGAGACAAGGUCUCACUCUGUAGUUUAGGCUGGUCUCGAGCUCAUGGCCAUCCUCUUGCCUCAGCCUCCUCAGUGCUGGGAUUACAGGCCUGCACCAGCAUGCCGGCUCAGCAGGGACUUUAGAACAGGAUUUCUAUGACAGCUUUCAGUGAAGGGCACCUUCAACAAAAUAUUAGCAGGCCCACGCCAUAAUCCCAGCAUUCUGGAGACUGAGGCAGGAGGACUGCUGUGAAUUCGAGGCCACCCUGGGUUGCAUUGUGAAUUCAUGGCCAAUCUGAAAUAUAUGGUGAGACCCUGUCUCAAAACAACACUUAGAGUAAUUUAAUCAUUGCGGUCCACACGGUUAACCCGAGUCCAGACCCCAGGACCUUGACUCUGCUCAGCAGUGGGCAGGAGCUUCUCCACCGCUAUUUUACCAAAGAUUCUGAGGCUCAGCGUGGCCCCGGAGCUUUCUCUGUGAGACCAAGAUGUACCGCAGCUCCUCCCGGGUUCUGAGCCUCAGUUUCCCGCCUAGGUAGAGCACUGACCCACGCCUCCACCUUGCUGUGUGGAUGGGCGGAGAGCGGGGGCAAACUCCCCCUAUCAUGAACAACAGAGCCCCCUGGAGAUGGACCCGAGAGGUCGCCAAACCCCAGGGCGGAGCAAAGUCCUCUCUCCACGGAUAAAUCCACUGAUAAUCCUCACGGGACCCCUAGGAACCGAGACUCGUGAUCUCCGCUUUGCGCGCAAGGAAAGUCCCACUGCGCUUGGGGCAGUCAGCCCACCUCACUCUGUCCGGGGGAGCUAGAGGAAGAAGUGAAAAGAUCAGAGGACCCCGCCUGAUUCACCCCGUGAGGCCCAGUGCUGGCACACACUCCCAUCGCAGCGGGGUGAGACGUGGGAACCCAGGACGCUCAGGAGUAGGUGACUCUGGUGCCACUUGGUGAAGAGGAAACAGGGGGCCCAGAGGAAGAGCCAUCUCCAGGGGGAGGAAAGAUCAUUGGUCAGCUCUCAGCCAGGAAAGCUUGAAGUCAAGGAUGGCAUGAAACCAAGGACAGAGGACCGCAAGGUCAGGAAAUCCAUGAGGCAAGGUGUGCCCCUGGGAGGGGGACAGGAAGACCCUCAGAGCCAUGGGUUUCAGCUUGCUCAUCUUGGCCACCCAGUGGAGUUUCGCCUUCCACUAUGAAAGCCACCAGCCCUGGGCACUAUUGGCGUUGACAUUGAGUAAAAUUAACACUUUAAAUGCAGUUGCACUGCCACAGGAGCCCUGUGUGGCUGCUGGGUGCCCAAUGGGCUCUGUGUGUCCAUGCAGAAAGCUCUAAGGGCCCUUGCUCCAGGAGAUGGUGGCACAGGCCCAGUGGGCAAGAGAAGAACUUGAAAGGAAUUGAGCUGGAAAAGACGAGGGGUCUGCCCACGGCGGGAGGGGGUAGCUGGGAGAUGCUUGCCUGCCUCAGGGGUGGCACACGUGUGUGUCCUGCUGGGGAUGGAGAAGCCAGGCACAGCUCAGGGCCGAGCCUCCUACCCCUUGCAUGGAGCAGGGAGACCAGGCUGAGGGGCCGGAGACUCCCAGUUCGCAAGGGCACAUGGCAGGGGGCAGGACCUACCCUGGAGCCCAGUUCAAAGACUCAGAAACCCCAGUGAGGUCUCAGAGUUGCAGGAGAAGGGAACCAGAUGGCCACAGGUCUCCUGGCUCUCCUGGCUCUGCCUGACCCCCAGCCCAGGCCACACUCGGGCCCACCUGUCCCAGGUCCCAGCCCCCAGCCUCAAUUCCCAGAAAGGCUCCAGCUGUCUUUGCAAAGGUGAAAGGACCCUCAGUGGCCCCUCUGCUCCUGGGGAGGCCAGGCUGGCUCAGGGUGGCCACGGGUGGCCGCAGCUCCCGGGAGGCUGGGACCAGACAUCCAGGAGGUACCUGGCCUCCGCCUAGCCAGUCUGCCUUCAAGCAGAUCUCAGCAGCAGGCUCUGCACGGGCCCGGAGGAGACCCCUGGAAGAGAACAGCAGCCUAGACGUGGAUGUGCCUUUUCUCCAGGAGAUAAAGAAAUUGAAUAAA